UACGUAGGGGGCAAGCGUUGUCCGGAAUUAUUGGGCGUAAAGCGCGUGUAGGCGGCCAGGUAGGUCCGCUGUGAAAACUCGAGGCUCAACCUCGAGCUGUCGGCGGAAACCAUCUGGCUAGAGUCCGGAAGAGGAGAGUGGAAUUCCCGGUGUAGCGGUGAAAUUCGUAGAUAUUGGGAAGAACACCAGUGGCGAAGGCGGCUAACUGGUCCAGAUCUGACGCUGAGGUGCGAAAGCGUGGGGAGCAA
rnacentral:rRNA from 1 species